GACGAACGCUGGCGGCGUGCUUAACACAUGCAAGUCGAACGGAAAGGCCCCUUUGGGGGUCCUCGAGUGGCGAACGGGUGAGUAACACGUGAGUAACCUGCCCUUGACUUCGGGAUAACUUCAGGAAACUGGGGCUAAUACCGGAUAGGAAUCCUUGCUGCAUGGUGGGGGUUGGAAAGCUUCGGCGGUUUUGGAUGGACUCGCGGCUUAUCAGCUUGUUGGUGGGGUAGUGGCUUACCAAGGCUUUGACUGGUAGCCGGCCUGAGAGGGCGACCGGCCACAUUGGGACUGAGAUACGGCCCAGACUCCUACGGGAGGCGGCAGUGGGGAAUAUUGCACAAUGGGCGGAAGCCUGAUGCAGCAACGCCGCGUGCGGGAUGACGGCCUUCGGGUUGUAAACCGCUUUCAGCAGGGGCGAAGCUUGUGGUGACGGUACCUGCAGAAGAAGCACCGGCUAACUACGUG
rnacentral:rRNA from 1 species